UACGUAGGGGGCAAGCGUUGUCCGGAAUCAUUGGGCGUAAAGCGCGUGUAGGCGGCCCGGUAAGUCCGCUGUGAAAGUCCAGGGCUCAACCCUGGGAUGCCGGUGGAUACUGUCGGGCUCGAGUCCGGAAGAGGCGAGUGGAAUUCCUGGUGUAGCGGUGAAAUGCGCAGAUAUCAGGAAGAACACCUAUGGCGAAAGCAGCUCUCUGGGACGGUACUGACGCUGAGACGCGAAAGCGUGGGGAGCGAACAGG
rnacentral:rRNA from 1 species